UUUUAAAUGGCCGCAGUAUUUUGACUGUGCAAAGGUAGCAUAAUCAUUAGUUUUUUAAUUAAAAGCUUGUAUGAAAGGCUGGACGAGGUAAAAUCUGUCUCUAUCUAAAUUAUAAUAGAAUUUAACUUUUAAGUUAAAAGGCUUAAAUAUUAUUAAAAGACGAGAAGACCCUAUAGAUCUUUAUAACUUAUUAAAUUAAAUUAAUUUAGAAAUAUUAAUGUUUUAUUUAACUAAGGUAUUUUAUUGGGGUAAUAAAAAGAUUAAAUAAAUUCUUUUUUAUAAUAAACAUUAAUUUAUGAAUAUUAAUGAUCCAGUUUUACUGAUUAUAAGAUUAAGUUACCUUAGGGAUAACAGCGUAAUUUUUUUAGAGAGUUCAUAUCGAUAAAAAAGUUUGCGACCUCGAUGUUGGAUUAAAGAUUAUUUUAGGUGUAGAAGCUUAAUAAUUUUGGUCUGUUCGACCAUUAAAUCUUUACAUGAUCUGAGUUCAGACCGGCGUAAGCCAGGUCGGUUUCUAUCUUUAAUAAAAUAAAAUAUUUUAGUACGAAAGGACCAAAUAUUUAAUAUAUUUAUAUUUAAUUUAUUGAAUAUUA
rnacentral:rRNA from 1 species